AGGCAGAGGUACCCUGGAUGGCCCCUGGAUGGCCCCUGGAUGGCCCAAGCCACUCCCUGCCUCUGGAGGGGAAAGUAGAUGCAUUUUCAGGAGGUGCUUCUGACAUGGUCUGAGAAACAGGAAGCAGUCAGCAGAACUGGUUGUCACUGUCCCUCUUCAGGUGGGGUCUGUGUCCUCCAGUUGGCCAGACUGCCCUGUCUGGCAUGUGCCUAUGCACCUCUGUGUUUGAGACAGCCUCGUUCCUCCUCACCCUUCUGCACAUGCCUGUUUUAUAACGGGGAACUGCAACGGUUUUGUAGUGUGUCAACUUGGCUAGGCUGAACUACAUUUCCCAUGACACCCUUAUUCAUACAUUUCCUGUAGGGUGGGCCACAUUUGCCAGAUUUGGGAGGAAGUCACCAUUUUGGUUGCUGAUCAGGUGACUUACCUCCUCGGUAGGAACCCGUACUGAUUACUGGACUUACCCUGGAUUCUCUCUCAGUUUUCCUGACUCAGGUGUGUGCAUGGUUUAAGUCUAUAACAAAGGGUCUCAGCUUCUGCAGGAUACCCUCAACACCAAGGUCAGAGGCAACAAGAACCAACACAAGUUUCAGUCUGUCCUGGGCUCCAGCUUGUGCCGUUUCGGCCUGCUUAUGAUCUUCCCGUCCUGUCUGGGCACUCACUGCUGGCUCCAGCGUCGGUCAGAGAAAUUCAGCCUUCUGGCAUCUGGUUCCUCAGCCCUGCUAUCAAUCCAAUGUAUAGAGUCUGCUGCCCCAGGAAGCCCUCCUCCAGAGCCUCGCGGUGUCCUGUGCCCCCAGCAUUCACCUGGAAUUGAAGCUCCUCAGUGAGGUCUAAGAGACAUAAGAGGUCGACAGCAGGUGGGCUUUCCCUGUGUAUUGAGAAAGAUGGCUUCUGGCAACUCUGGCCCCCUGUCCCUGCCUGGGAAAGAGCACCUCUUUCCCAGAAGCUCCAGGAAGAGUCCCAGGAUUGACUCCCGAUGGAACUCACUGGGGUCAAGAACCAUUUCUGACCCAGAGGUUGUGGCACAGUGAACAACUGAACACUCA